rnacentral:rRNA from 1 species
UACGUAGGUGACAAGCGUUGUCCGGAUUUACUGGGCGUAAAGAGCGCGCAGGCGGUCGUUCAAGUCGAGUGUGAAAGCCCCCGGCUCAACUGGGGAGGGUCAUUCGAUACUGAUCGACUCGAAGGCAGGAGAGGGUAGUGGAAUUCCCGGUGUAGUGGUGAAAUGCGUAGAUAUCGGGAGGAACACCAGUGGCGAAGGCGACUACCUGGCCUGUUCUUGACGCUGGAGGCGCGAAAGCUAGGGGAGCAAACGGG